CUGGGAACAGAAGGGUAGCCGAUUAGGGUUUGGUGGAGCAGAGAAGACAACGAAGAGUACCUCUGCCUCUUGCCUCCGCUAUCAUUCGUGGAUUCAAUGUUGGCUUGGUGACUCGAUCGAAGAUGGAGACCCAAUGGAUCGCCGAGCUACCGCACGCGGCCACGGACAAGCGCCCGCGGAAGAGGCCCAGGCUCGCGUGGGAUGUGCCCCCUCCGAUUCCCCCUUCCAUGGUUCCUCUGACGCUAUACUGUGGGAUGGAAGCUGCACAAAUGGCUACUAUGAACCAGCACUUGCAAUCAUUCUACUACGGUGGAGUACCUCGAUAUUGUUCUCCUCCUUGGAGGGGUGACGACAAAGAUGGUCAUUAUAUUUUUGGCAUCGGCGAGAAUCUAACACCAAGAUAUAGGAUACUGAACAAAAUGGGUGAAGGAACAUUUGGACAAGUCCUGGAAUGCUGGGACCUGGAAAAUAAAGAACCAGUGGCUAUCAAAAUUGUGCGUUCUCUCCAGAAAUAUCGUGAGGCUGCAAUGAUCGAGAUUGAUGUACUUCAAAGGCUUGCAAAAGCUGACAGAAGUGGCACUCGUUGUGUGCAAAUACGGAAUUGGUUCGACUAUCGCAACCAUAUAUGUAUAGUCUUUGAGAAACUUGGACCAAGCUUAUAUGACUUUCUUCGGAGAAACAGCUACCGCUCUUUCCCCAUCGACUUAGUCCGCGAACUUGCCGGGCAGCUUCUGGAGUCUGUUGCAUUUAUGCAUGACUUGCGGUUAAUUCAUACUGAUCUGAAGCCAGAGAAUAUUCUUCUCGUCUCCUCUGAAUAUAUAAAGGUUCCUGAUCACAAGUUUCUAUCACGAUCAGCCAAGGAUGGUUCACUUUUCAAGAAUCUGCCAAAAUCUAGUGCUAUCAAGUUAAUUGACUUUGGAAGCACGACAUUUGAACACCAGGACCACAGUUACGUAGUUUCAACAAGGCAUUAUCGUGCACCUGAGGUUAUUCUUGGACUUGGGUGGAACUAUCCCUGUGAUAUGUGGAGUGUGGGUUGUAUUCUUGUUGAGCUUUGCUCGGGUGAGGCACUCUUUCAAACUCAUGAAAAUUUGGAGCAUUUAGCUAUGAUGGAAAAGGUGUUAGGACCACUUCCACAGCACAUGAUUGUUAGAGCUAAUGUCCAUAAUAGCCAGCGUGCGGAGAAAUAUUUCAGGCAAGGUCGAGGAUUGCGAUUAGACUGGCCCGAAGGGGCAACCUCAAGGGAAAGCAUCAGAGCAGUUUGGAGAUUGCCUCGCCUUCAGAAUCUGGUUAUGCAACAUGUUGAUCACUCUGCUGGUGAUUUAAUUGAUCUUCUGCAAGGGCUUCUCCAUUAUGAUCCGGCUCAGCGUCUAAAAGCCCGAGAAGCCCUUAGACACCCCUUUUUCACCAGAGAUCUGAGAAGAUGUGGUUACUCUUUGAACUAAGGGCUUUACUCUUCUUUCUUAAGUCAAGUUUGUAAGGGAAUUGUAAAAAAUCUCAGGGUUUUUCUUCUCUUGCAGAGUUUCAGAUGAACAGGCAGCAAAUUCUGUGUACACAAUUUAGGGCACAUAUCAGACGGAAGUUUGGAUGCAAGUUCUAAAACAUGGUCAUGGCUUCGUGUUUUGUUUGUUGGGUUUAACUUUAGCUCAGUGUUCGUAGCAUCCCUCUAUUGGAUCAACCAACCAUUGGCUCAAGCAGGUAUUGAACGAUCCACUCAUUCUUCUUUUGGGGCCACCGUAUGUAUUCUCAUCUUUAAUAUGUCAAUUGAGAGUCAAUUUGAUUUGUUUUGUUUUGGGAUUGGAAUGUUAUUUCUACAAAGAACUUGUUUUCAUUCUCGUCUAACAUUUAGUGCUUGAAGGUAUUAAUUAGAAUUUGCUUUUGGUAUAUUGUUUGCUACUUCUGCGAAAUUUCUAAUAAGCAUCGUUAAAUCAUUUAGCUUGUCAUACUAUACUAAUGAUACUAAGCUGAGGUGUAAGACUAUUUACUUGGUGUGAUAGUAGUCUUCUAUCAACAUAUUUUUUUCAAAUAUAAUUUGAUUUCAAUCACAAUAUUCGUUGCUUAGUAAUUCUUUAGUCUUACUCUUAAAUAGUUAAUAUUAUUUUUCACCUUAAGUUUGUACCAAUUAUACUGUCUUCCUCCAAUGAUAUACAUGUGAUGCAUUGGAUAAUUUGCCGGUCUUAUGGAAGCAUAUAUUGUGUUCUCCUGAAACUGAAUGAAACAAAAUUUUGCUGUUUAGUGCACGGUAAGUUGCCUUGUUCUGUUAUUAUCUAUUGCAGAUUCUAUAUAAUAGAAGGCUCAACAUUUAAACAAAUUUAUUUUGAUAUCAGAUUCCAGAUUCUCUUUAUUUUCCGUCAUCAUGAAUGAUGAGUUUUGCUGGCCUGAUAGUAGGGCAAAUGCCGCUGGCUUUUCUUUUAGAUACUUCUUCCUAACUCAUCUUGGUUGCGGGUGGUAUGGUGAUGGAUUGCAUAGUUCUGAUGUUCCUUUUCAGCAAGAGCAUGAAGGAACUAAAGAGGAUUAAAUUUGUGUUUUAGACUUUACAAUGACUAAUGCUGAUUGAGAUUUUAUGUUCACCUGCAUUUACACACGUCUAUUUGUUUUUUCUUCCUAUAAGAGAAGGGUCUUGCGGAGGCAUACUGGAUGCAAAAGGUAAACCUCACUAAUUGAAGUUCUUCGUCAAACAAUUAUCGUGUACCGCAUUAGAGAUUUUGCAAGUUGUGUUUUUUUUGGCUCUUUUUUUUUUCUCGGUUGAACAAAAAUGGUGUGAUUGUGUUACACUUAUCGUCGAGGAGGUUAUUUCUUCAGUAAGAAAACUGAUACUAAGAUAAAGAUAUUUUCUCUUCGAAAGAUCCUUUGUUUCCUUUUUUUUUUUUUUUUUCUGAAUCGUAAAUUAAUUUUAUUCUCUCCUUUGCCUAUCCAAUUCAGUGUCCAUAACCAUAAGAAGCCUGAUGAUGACAAAUUCGAACUUAUCAUGAAUUUGGAUACAGAUCCUGUGGCUACACUAGAUACUGAUCUGAGUUUUAUAAACUGAUAUGAAGUUGUUUGAUACCUAAAUUCUGCAUUGUCUCCUCACAGGCCAGCCAAAGAUUAGCCAAGACAACAACUGGGGCUUUGUAUGAGUUCAUAACAGGCUCAGUAUAACUGGUCAAAGGAAGAACCUGAUACAGAGAAAAUUGAACCAACAAAGGAUGUAACUUACAAGCUUCAAGGCAAGGGUGAGUUUUCUUGGGCCAUGAUUUCUCUUCCGUAGAAUGUGACUCGCUGGAAUUAUUGACAUGUCCAGAUAUACUUGUGUAAGUAUAAUACCUCAUAGAUUUAUGUUUGCGGCCUUCGACUGUUGACAUCCCUAUAAGUGUCUCAACGUGUGUUUGAUUGUUCUUCUGGUGUAAGUUUUCUCCAUUUAGAGAUGACGAUAUGCACUGGAAUCGAUGCAUUAUACUUAUUAUAA